UACAGAGGUCCCAAGCGUUGUUCGGAUUCACUGGGCGUAAAGGGUGCGUAGGUGGUGGGGUAAGUCGGAUGUGAAAUCUCCGAGCUCAACUCGGAAAUGGCAUUGGAAACUGCCCUGCUGGAGGGUCGGAGGGGGGACUGGAAUGCUCGGUGUAGCAGUGAAAUGCGUAGAUAUCGAGAGGAACACCAGUGGCGAAGGCGAGUCCCUGGACGACUCCUGACACUGAGGCACGAAAGCUAGGGGAGCAAACAGG
rnacentral:rRNA from 1 species